GUGAGUCAUCGAAUCUUUGAACGCACAUUGCGCCCGCCAGUAUUCUGGCGGGCAUGCCUGUUCGAGCGUCAUUUCAACCCUCAGGCCCCGCCUGGCGUUGGGGAUCGGCGCGGCCCUACCCGGGCUGCCGGCCCCGAAAACUAGUGGCGGCCUCGCUGUAGUCCUCCUCUGCGCAGUAGCAACGCUCGCACUGGAACUCGGCGCGGCCACGCCGUAAAACACCCCACUUCUGAAAGUUGACCUCGGAUCAGGUAGGAAUACCCGCUGAACUUAAGCAUAUCAAUAAGCGGAGGA
rnacentral:misc_RNA from 1 species